rnacentral:rRNA from 1 species
AUUGAACGCUGGCGGCAGGCCUAACACAUGCAAGUCGAGCGGAUGAAGGGAGCUUGCUCCUGGAUUCAGCGGCGGACGGGUGAGUAAUGCCUAGGAAUCUGCCUGGUAGUGGGGGAUAACGUCCGGAAACGGGCGCUAAUACCGCAUACGUCCUGAGGGAGAAAGUGGGGGAUCUUCGGACCUCCCGCCAUCAGAUGAGCCUAGGUCGGAUUGGCUAGUUGGUGGGGUAAAGGCCUACCAGGGCGACGAGCCGUAACUGGUCUGAGAGGAUGAUCAGUCAACCGGGACCUGGACAAGGGCCCAGCCCCCUACGGGAGGCAGCGGGGGGAAAAAUUGGACAAUGGGCGAAAGCCUGUUCCAGCCAUGCCGCGUGUGUGAAGAAGGUUUUCGGAUUGUAAAGCACUUUAUGUUGGAAGGAAAGGAAGUGAGUUAAUACCUGGCUGUUUUGCCGUUACCAACAGAAUAAGCACCGGCUAACUCCGU